AAUAGCAUGAGUGCAUCUGUUGGGCUGAGGAAAUAAAGUUCCACAGAAUUAUGAUAUUGAAUUAUCUCCAGACAUCGAUGGCUUUUUAUAAAGUCUCUGAAAGCUUUGGUAUUGAUUGAGUGAAGGACACGAUUAUGACAGAAGGAUGCUGUGCACUGUGCUUGUUUGUUCCUCCCCGGGAACAUUGAAGAUUGCUUUGCUAUUUUGUUCAAACUGCAUUUGGCCAGUCCUGACACUUAAACCAAGCUGUGUACAUCGACGAAGCUGCGCCUUGACAUAUUGUGAAUGAACUCCGAACGAACAGCUAACUGCUUUUAGGUCGGACGUCGUUGGUGCCAGUUCUGACAAUUAUACACUUGUGAGAUGUUGUGUGCAAAAUUGCUUAGAAAUCUGUGGACCUGUGGACAUUAUUCAAAGACCCCCACACGAAAUCACCAUAUGAAAUGUACAAUAACUGUACAAUGUAUUCAUCGACUCCAAAGGCUGAGUCAAACAUCUGCUUCAAUUCCAGAGGCUGCUGGAGGAGCUGCCUCAGGCUGGACUCACCAACAGCCCUAAGAAAUGCCACUUCAUUCUGCUUGAACAGUGUUACCAAGAUUCUAGAUCAACUGGGGACUGAUAAAACCUUCAAAAGCAGACAGAAGCUGUGCAGUUUUAUACUUCCUGGCUUGCGAGUAUGAAUUAUGUAUGCCAUUUCCAAAGGUAGGCAGGUUACCAUCAGUGCCUCAUGCCUUGUUUUUCUAGUAUAUCAUCUCUCCUCUCAAGUGUGACCAGUAAUGGGCAGCAAGAAAAAAAUGCUAUGAACAUCUAAGGUAGAGCCAGCUUUUAGCUUCCUAAAAAAACCUUUCAACUGGUUUUACAUGCUCCAAGCUUUCAUCUACCCUUCUCAUUUCAUCUACCCUUCCAAUCUACCCUUCACUCUCCAUGUUCAUGCCAAGCUGCUUUCCAUGAAGACGAUGCCAUUCACUAUCUGACACCAGCAUUGUACAUGUCUUUGACAUCACUUUGCCAAUUUCUUG
ensembl:lncRNA